GACGAACCGUGCGAACGUUAUUCGGAAUCACUGGGCUUAAAGCGCGUGUAGGCGGCCCAGCACGUCAGUCGCUGAAAUCCCCCGGCUCAACCGGGGAAGUGGCGUUGAUACGACCGGGCUGGAGGGGGGUAGGGGGGACGGGAACUCACGGUGGAGCGGUGAAAUGCGUUGAGAUCGUGAGGAACGCCCGCGGCGAAAGCGCGUCCCUGGACCCCACCUGACGCUGAGACGCGAAAGCCAGGGGAGCGAACGGG
rnacentral:rRNA from 1 species